UCGGAGUCUCCACCAAUCAGGAAGCUUCCCGCGAAAUUCUGCCGCCCUGAACAGCUGAGAGGAGGAGAGCGGGAAGUAGACGAGACUGAACCACUGUUGUCAUUUUCACCUUUAUAUCUGUUUCCUGGUAGCCGCCAUGGACGAGGAAUGUGAGAUAGUGGGAGAGGUAGGGUGGCAAGGCGUGACCGUGACCAGUCCUCUCACAACCCCUCUCACAAAAAAAUUGAAACAAAGUCGGCUGCCAUUUGCUCCAUUAGACUCUCGGACACCGCACAGCCCCGGCCCACCCCGCCCCUCCCCUGACUCUCAAACACCCAAGAGGAGGCGUCUGUCUGCCAGCGGAGGAGGAGGAGGAGGAGAGAUAGAAAAAAGAAAGAGAGGAAGACCUAAGAUGACUGGAAGGAAGAGUUCCUCCAAUAUGGCUGACAAGAAGAAAGAGAAAGAGGAAGAAGAGGAGGAGGAGGAGAGUCCAGUAGCAAAGAAGAGACCAAUAGAGAAGACACGAAAGCUCCUCCCUGUCUUCCUCCCCUCUGCUUCCUCCUCCUCCUCUUCCUCUUCCUCCUCGUCUUCGUUGAAAAAGAAGGAGGAGAAAGAGAAUGUUU